rnacentral:rRNA from 1 species
AUGGAUGGAGACGAGGUCUUCGACCGGGCCUCGCUUGGAUCUACAUCGUCGGUGAACAAAAUAAUCCAUCCAAAUGUUCAGAUUGGUCCAGACACUGUAAGGGUGCCAGCUAGAAUGAUGCUUAGUCUCCUGUUAGAGCGGCUUAACAUACCUGACGGCAUUUACCGUCGAAGGCAAUACUCACAUGACACUGUCAGUGUCACAGUGCUCUUCUACACCUCUCCACCGAUUAAUGGAGUCAGUCCACCACAGAUGACAAUUACCGGUGUUCGCUCUGCCAAUCAGGAAGUGGCAGAAGAUUCUGCGGCUAUGGCAGCCAUCAGGUACAUGGAAGACGCUACAAACACUGUCGUGAUCGAUCUAAACUAUGCAGGGUUCAAAAGGAUGCAGCAAGACAAUGGUUAUCUGAGACUCAGACUUAACAAGGCGUUUGAGGCGAUAGACAAGCUUUCUAAAGGCUGCUUAAUUGCUGUCAGAUACAUGUGUGCCUUCUCGGAUCAGCUUCACAAUGUUAUCGCGCAUGCCUUUCCACCUACUCGUGCUGUGGACAAAACCACCAAUGAAACCCUUAUGAACAUUGAAGUGGUGGCGAAUAAUAUGAAGGACAGAAGCCACCAUUUGGAGAAAAAACUAUACAAGGUUAAAAGACAGGCUCAGGCACGAGAGCAUGAGCCAUUCGCACCGGUCAUUCGCCGGCGAUGA